rnacentral:rRNA from 1 species
UUCGCCUGUUUAUCAAAAACAUCUUUUCUUGUUAGUUUUUGAAGUAUGGCCUGCCCACUGAGUAUAUUUGAAGGGCCGCGGUAUUUUGACCGUGCAAAGGUAGCAUAAUCAUUAGUUCUUUAAUUGUGAUCUGGAAUGAAUGGCUUGACGAGAUGCAAGCUGUCUUAGGUUUGGUGAAAUUUUAGUUGAAUUUGGUUUCUGGGUUAAAAUACUCAGAUUUUUUUAUGGGACGAGAAGACCCUAUAGAGUUUUACACUUAUAUUUAUUGUUGUUGUUUAGUUUGGUUUUUAUUAUUUAAAUAAGUUUAUUGUGUUUUGUUGGGGUGAUGGGAAGAAUUUGUUUAACUCUUCUUUAUUUUUGUACAUUUAUUUGUGUUAUUAUGAUCCAUUUAUUUUGAUUAAAAGAUUAAAUUACCUUAGGGAUAACAGCGUAAA